GUAUGCUCCUUCCUUGAAAGUGUAAUGGAAGUUGGUAGAGAGAGGAGUGCAUUCCUGCUGAACUGAUGGAAAGACUGAAAGCAAGCUAGCAAGCUCACCAGUUCCCUGUACUCAAACCAGUCCAGCAGAUGCUACCACCACACUGCCGAUGGUCUGUCGUUAGUUAGGAGAUAACAGACAGAGAAAACAGGAUCCCCAAAGCACCCAACCCCCUGGAAGGCAGACAGUUUCAGAGUUUACAGGCUCAUAUCCCAGUGAAAGAAAGAUAAAGGGGAAGUGGGAAGUGGCUGACCUGACAGAGAAGUUAAUAAGGUAUUGGCAGCAGUCAAGACAUGAGAAGAAGGAUACUUUCCUCUUCACCGAAAUUGAUCUGAGCAACAGGGCAUACAGUAAAAUUAAACAGA
rnacentral:lncRNA from 1 species